rnacentral:rRNA from 1 species
GACGAACGCUGGCGGCGUGCUUAACACAUGCAAGUCGAACGGAAAGGCCCUGCUUUUGUGGGGUGCUCGAGUGGCGAACGGGUGAGUAACACGUGAGUAACCUGCCCUUGACUUUGGGAUAACUUCAGGAAACUGGGGCUAAUACCGGAUAGGAGCUCCUGCUGCAUGGUGGGGGUUGGAAAGUUUCGGCUGUUGGGGAUGGACUGGCGGCUUAUCAGCUUGUUGGUGGGGUAGUUGCUUACCAAGGCUUUGACGGGUAGCCGGCCUGAGAGGGUGAACGGCGACAAUGGGACUGAGAUACGGCGCAGACGCCUACGGGAGGCAGCAGUGGGGAAUCUGGCACAAUGGGCGGAAGCGUGAUGCAGCAACGCCGGGUGCGGGAUGACGGCCUUCGGGUUGUAAACCGCUUUCGCCUGUGACGAAGCGUGAGUGACGGUAAUGGGUAAAGAAGCACCGGCUAACUACGUG